UGAGGCCAGGGUUUGCCUGGGGAAGGUGCCAGGCCCCUGAGCCCCCAGGGCAAGGGGCAGCAGGGGGCAGUGGGGACCUGGAGUUUCCUGUCCACAGAACACCUCACGUGUAACAGGGUUGUUUUUCAAAGCCUGUCCCAAUGAGCCAUGGACACCACAGCCUGGGCUGUGAGCAGGAGGCAAAGGGGAUCUGGAAGGAAAUUCGUACCAUGAGGAGCUGAGUGGAGCAGCCGCUCCCACCAAAGCUCAGCGGGAGGCAGGAGUGAGCAGCAGUGGAAGGCAGCAUGAAAUAACCCCUGGGGUGUGACCUCCUGACUGAGCUCACCAUAGAGCUUCAGGGCUUGGAAGAGGUGCCUCCAGACCAGGUGGCAACAGGGCUAUGCUGAACUGCCUCACUUCACUGCCACACCCCUGCACAACCUCUUCAGUUCCAGUAAUUCCCACAUCCCAUGCAACAUAUCUGACAGGUACCAAAGCCAGGUUUAAGAGUCCAGUGUUUCCUGGAUCCUUUGGAGCCCUUUCUAGAAAUCAGCCUGGCCUUUGCCACCUCUCCUCUGGUUUGGGAAGGUCAGGGACCUGCUGCCUGUGUCUUGCUGCAGGGUCUGCCCUGAGCAGGUACCAGCCCAGUAGUUUUUCAGCAGAAUUCCCACUUCUGAUGUGUUUGAAAAAUACACUACUGUUAAUUCUUA